CAAAACUUUUAACAACGGAUCUCUUGGUUCUGGCAUCGAUGAAAGAACGCAGCGAAAAUGCGAUAAGUAAUGUGAAUUGCAGAAUUCAGUGAAUCAUCGAAUCUUUGAACGCACAUUGCGCCCGCCAGCAUUCUGGCGGGCAUGCCUGUUCGAGCGUCAUU
rnacentral:rRNA from 2 species